GAUUGCACAAUGGAUGCAAAAACACCUUUCUGUAUAAGUGCUCCAAUGUCCCUUGUGCAUUGUUUCAGCAUUGUAAAGACCAAAUUUCUUGGAGAUCCAUGCAUUCAACAAGUGUGCCCUGUGCUUCCACUCCACACUCCUCCGAC